CCCCCUCGGAUGCUUCUCCGCGUUCCUUUCCGUCCACUCAUCUCCUCCGCCCGGCCGGAGAGGGCGAUUUCGAGAGACGUCGUCUCCUCCGCCUGGCCGGAGAGGGUGAUUCAAGGGGAGAAGAAGGGGGAACGCGAGGACGAGGGGGAACAUUGCGACAUCACUUACUGCUUGUCGACGACCAUCCGCGCCCCGACAUCUUCGUCUCUGCCGCUCGGGAGGAGGGAGGCGCCUUGGGGAGAGUAGCAGAUGGAGCGGAAGGCGAUUGGUCCACGGCGGCAUCAGCCUCCUUCUCCAGCUCGGCGACGACAACCGGUCGGCCUAUCGGUGUCCCUGGCGGCGGCAUCGCUUUCUCCGAGAAACACCCUCGCCCUUUGUUGAGAAAAUGAUUCAUUGUUGGGCAAAAGCAGGCGCUUUGAGGGAAGCUGGGAGGGAAUGGAUCUCAGCUGAUCAAAACCGACAUGCACCAGCACCUCCUAGUGAUCGGUACCUGCUGCCCUGCCCAGAUCACCUCCAACCUCUGCCUUGCUUUUCGUGAUGUUCUCCUCCAUCGUCCUUUUUCAGUUUUUCUGACGGGAGAAAUCAGAUGCGUUUUUCUUGUGUUGUAAAACAAAUCAGGGUGCCGCACGGCUCUAAAUAGGCAGAGAGGUCCAAUGGUCAGGAGAAGGUGGGGGCAAAAACAAUAUGUAAUUUUCUCUCUUUUUUUAUGGGUACAACUUGUUUUUGUUUUCCCGCCAGUGCCCCCCUUUUUUUUUUCCUGUAUAUGUAAAGAAAAGAAAAACAAAGCCAGGAACUCGGCUUAUUUAAUGCUAUUCUUUGUUUUUUAAGGCCCGUUUUAGUUGGGCCACCAGUAA